GAACGAUGAAGCCCUUCGGGGUGGAUUAGUGGCGAACGGGUGAGUAACACGUGGGCAAUCUGCCCUGCACUCUGGGACAAGCCCUGGAAACGGGGUCUAAUACCGGAUACGAGCCUCCCGGGCAUCUGGGAGGUUGGAAAGCUCCGGCGGUGCAGGAUGAGCCCGCGGCCUAUCAGCUUGUUGGUGAGGUAACGGCUCACCAAGGCGACGACGGGUAGCCGGCCUGAGAGGGCGACCGGCCACACUGGGACUGAGACACGGCCCAGACUCCUACGGGAGGCAGCAGUGGGGAAUAUUGCACAAUGGGCGAAAGCCUGAUGCAGCGACGCCGCGUGAGGGAUGACGGCCUUCGGGUUGUAAACCUCUUUCAGCAGGGAAGAAGCGAAAGUGACGGUACCUGCAGAAGAAGCGCCGGCUAACUACGUGCCAGCAGCCGCGGUAAUACGUAGGGCGCAAGCGUUGUCCGGAAUUAUUGGGCGUAAAGAGCUCGUAGGCGGCUUGUCGCGUCGAUUGUGAAAGCCCGGGGCUUAACUCCGGGUCUGCAGUCGAUACGGGCAGGCUAGAGUGUGGUAGGGGAGAUCGGAAUUCCUGGUGUAGCGGUGAAAUGCGCAGAUAUCAGGAGGAACACCGGUGGCGAAGGCGGAUCUCUGGGCCAUUACUGACGCUGAGGAGCGAAAGCGUGGGGAGCGAACAGGAUUAGAUACCCUGGUAGUCCACGCCGUAAACGGUGGGCACUAGGUGUUGGCGACAUUCCACGUCGUCGGUGCCGCAGCUAACGCAUUAAGUGCCCCGCCUGGGGAGUACGGCCGCA
rnacentral:rRNA from 1 species